GCCGACGUACCUGCUUACGUGUGCCUAGAAGGUCGUGUCAUUAACUUCUAGGUAUAUAUUCGGUAAAUAUGUUUGUGUUUAUGUCGGAAGCAGAUUUAAACAGGACGAUUUGUUUGGAUAGCGGGAGCUGAUCUUAAGGAUAAUCUUAAAAGUCGAAGAAAACGUAUCAAAUAUUUUAAUUAUAAGUGGUAAAACGCCUACUAAGUCCAAAAGCUCUGAAACAGCAUUACAAAAGGAGAGAAAAACUAACGAAGCCAAAUCGAGAAGAUCUUCGAAACAUGGGUCUCGAAUUCCAAAUGCCGAAGAAGCCUGAAAAUGACAGAGGCGCAGCUUACGGAGCCUGGGUCACCAAAUACAACAAUGCACAACAGUCAUAUGGCUGGAAUUCGGCGAACAACGAGAAAAACGCCGCAACGAAGAGUAACCCCUGGGGCCCCAUUUUCAAAAAUAAGCAGAAUUUCCUAGACAUGCAUUUUUGCUGAUUUUUUUUUUUUUUUUUAAUUUUAGACUCCAUUUCAUUAAUAGUGUCAUAUUCUAGUCCAUGUAAUUUCUACAGCACGUCAUGUUUUUAGAAAAAUAAACACAGUUAUCUUAUGCUUUAAAAGAUGUUGUGUGAC